rnacentral:rRNA from 1 species
AGUAGUGACAAGAAAUAACAAUACAGGGCUUUCGUCUUGUAAUUGGAAUGAUGGUGAUGUACAACCUCACCAGAGUACCAAUUGGAGGGCAAGUCUGGUGCCAGCAGCCGCGGUAAUUCCAGCUCCAAUAGCGUAUAUUAAACUUGUUGCAGUUAAAAAGCUCGUAGUUGUAUUUCAGCCUCGCGUUUUUUCCCUUUUGUUGGGUCUUUUCGCUGGCUUUUUUUUUACUUUGAGAAAAUUAGAGUGUUUCAAGCAGACUUUUGUCUUGAAUACUUCAGCAUGGAAUAAUAGAGUAGGACCUUGGUUCUAUUUUGUUGGUUUUGAGCCUUGGUAAUGGUUAAUAGGAACGGUUGGGGGCAUUCGUAUUUAACUGUCAGAGGUG